rnacentral:rRNA from 1 species
UACAGAGGUCUCAAGCGUUGUUCGGAUUCAUUGGGCGUAAAGGGUGCGUAGGUGGCGUCGUAAGUCGGGUGUGAAAUUUCGGAGCUCAACUCCGAAACUGCAUUCGAUACUGCGGUGCUUGAGGACUGGAGAGGAGACUGGAAUUUACGGUGUAGCAGUGAAAUGCGUAGAGAUCGUAAGGAAGACCAGUGGCGAAGGCGGGUCUCUGGACAGUUCCUGACACUGAGGCACGAAGGCCAGGGGAGCAAACGUG